rnacentral:rRNA from 1 species
CACGUAGGGGGCGAGCGUUGUCCGGAUUUAUUGGGCGUAAAGAGCUCGUAGGCGGCUCGGUAAGUCAGGUGUGAAACCUCCAGGCUCAACCUGGAGACGCCACCUGAUACUGCCGUGGCUAGAGUCCGGUAGAGGAGCGUAGAAUUCCUGGUGUAGCGGUGAAAUGCGCAGAUAUCAGGAGGAAUACCAGCGGCGAAGGCGGGUCUCUGGACAGUUCCUGACGCUGAGGCACGAAGGCCAGGGGAGCAAACGGG